AAAGUUAAUAUCUUUAUCACGUUAAUUAAUAAUUUAUUUUAAAAAUUAAUGAGGAAAGUCUGGACACUAAAGAGAAAAUACAAAGGAUAAUAACCUUACAUUGUAAAAUGAUGAAUAGUGCAACAGAAAGAAAGUAUAAAAUUAAAAAAUUUUAUAGUGAAAUCAUGUAAACUCUGUAUAGUGAAAUGUCAAAAUUCCAUAACUUUCUCGGUUAAUAUGGUAGGUAGACAGAUUGAAAUAUAUGGUAACAUAUAUUCUAGAUAAAUGAUAAAGUAUAUUAUAUUAUUAUAAUAUAUUAUUAUAAUAUAAUAUAACAGAAUCCAGCUUAUAUAUUAACUUUUUUU
rnacentral:RNase_P_RNA from 1 species